rnacentral:rRNA from 1 species
AUACGUAGGGUGCGAGCGUUGUCCGGAAUUACUGGGCGUAAAGAGCUCGUAGGUGGUUUGUCGCGUCGUCUGUGAAAUUCCGGGGCUUAACUCCGGGCGUGCAGGCGAUACGGGCAUAACUUGAGUACUGUAGGGGAGACUGGAAUUCCUGGUGUAGCGGUGAAAUGCGCAGAUAUCAGGAGGAACACCGGUGGCGAAGGCGGGUCUCUGGGCAGUAACUGACGCUGAGGAGCGAAAGCAUGGGUAGCGAACAGGAUUAGAUUCCCUGGUAGUCCAUGCCGUAAACGGUGGGCGCUAGGUGUAGGGGUCUUCCACGACUUCUGUGCCGUAGCUAACGCAUUAAGCGCCCCGCCUGGGGAGUACGGCCGCAAGGCUAAAACUCAAAUGAAUUGACGGGG